GAUGAACGCUAGCGGCAGGCUUAAUACAUGCAAGUCGAGGGGCAGCGCGGGUAGCAAUACCUGGCGGCGACCGGCAAACGGGUGCGGAACACGUACGCAACCUUCCCAAAACUGGGGAAUAGCCCUCCGAAAGGAGGAUUAAUACCCCGUAACAUAACGAAGUGGCAUCACUUUGUUAUUAUAGUUCCGACGGUUUUGGAUGGGCGUGCGCCUGAUUAGGUAGUUGGCGGGGUAACGGCCCACCAAGCCUACGAUCAGUAACUGGUGUGAGAGCACGACCAGUCACACGGGCACUGAGACACGGGCCCGACUCCUACGGGAGGCAGCAGUAAGGAAUAUUGGUCAAUGGACGCAAGUCUGAACCAGCCAUGCCGCGUGAAGGAUGAAGGUCCUCUGGAUUGUAAACUUCUUUUAUAUGGGACGAAAAAGGGCAUUCUUGCUCACUUGACGGUACCAUAGGAAUAAGCACCGGCUAACUCCGUCGCCAGCAGCCGCGGUAA
rnacentral:rRNA from 1 species